AGGGUUUGAUCAUGGCUCAGAUUGAACGCUGGCGGUAGGCUUAACACAUGCAAGUCGUGCGAGAAAGUAUCUUCGGAUAUGAGUAGAGCGGCGGACGGGUGAGUAACGCGUAGGAAUCUACCUAGUAGAAGGGGAUAGCCCGGGGAAACCCGGAUUAAUACCGUAUACCUCCUUCGGGAGAAAGAAGGCCUCUCUUUGAAGCUUUCGCUACUAGAUGAGCCUGCGUAAGAUUAGCUUGUUGGUGAGGUAAAGGCUCACCAAGGCGACGAUCUUUAGCUGGUCUGAGAGGACGAUCAGCCACAUUGGGACUGAGACACGGCCCAGACUCCUACGGGAGGCAGCAGUGGGGAAUAUUGGACAAUGGGCGCAAGCCUGAUCCAGCCAUACCGCGUGUGUGAAGGAGGCCUUCGGGUUGUAAAGCACUUUAAGCAGGGAGAAAAAGUUAUAAGUUAAUACCUUAUAACCCUGAUGUUACCUGCAGAAUAAGCACCGGCUAAUUCCGUGCCAGCAGCCGCGGUAAUAC
rnacentral:rRNA from 1 species